rnacentral:rRNA from 1 species
AUGUCGACAACCGCCGGCAGCACCCAGUCGUCGUCAUCGCCGCCGUGGUCCAACCUGCCCGACGACCUCCUCGGCAUGGUCCGCCAAAGGCUUGCCUCCCUGCGCGAUCGCGAGCGCGUCGCCGCCGUUUGCAAGGGGUGGCGCGCCGCCGCAUCGCGCCGGCGGCCGCCGGCCAGCCCGCAGCUGCUCGUGUAUCCUCUGCGUGGACGAUUCGUCGGGAACAAGCUCCUGCGCGGCCCCGACGACUGCUUUGUCGUGCGCGUCCCAGACAAGAUGGAACACAAGAGGCCGACCAGCCUCCGGAAAAUCAUCUUCUCGGAAGCCCCCACCUCCAGCAGCUGCAUCCUCGCCGCCAUCGAUUACCGGGGCUCCGACGUCUUGCUCUGCAAAGUUGGCGGCCGCGAGAGCGGGUGGACCAUAAAAUAUAUGCAAGGAAGGACGGUCAGCGACAUCGCGUUUUGUAACGGCCAGCUCUAUGGCCUCACGGCUCGUGACGAACAGCUGGUCAAGUUUGAAAUCGACGUCAAAGAAGACGGCACGCCGGUCAUCACAUCCAGUCACCCCCUGGCCAUCCAAACACGCCACGGUCCCACGUAUGAGGAUGAUCCCUACAUCUUCGAGCUGCACGGCAAGCCGUCAAUGGCGAUACGUACCUGGUGGCUGCCCAACCACGUCGACCCUUUCUUCAAGAUCUUCACGCUUGUUGAGACCGAUAAUGUCAAGCCUUACAAAUACAAGUGGGCAGAAGUGGUGAAUUUUGAUGAACACGCCUUGUUCUUGGGGUCAAAUUGGUCUAAGGCGGUGCACGUGCCGGUAGGUCGACACCAUGGUUUGCAAAGAAACCAUAUCUACUACGAGGCACAAACCACAUGCCCAACAAAUGAGUUGCCGGAUGAUGUGGUGUACUCCAUGACAAUGUACUACAGCGAGCACGUGUAUUGCAGAAUAGACCAAAGUGUUGGCGAUGGUGUGGAACGGAUAGGAUAUCACCUCACGGGUUGA